rnacentral:rRNA from 1 species
UACGUAGGGUCCGAGCGUUGUCCGGAAUUACUGGGUGUAAAGAGCUCGUAGGUGGUUUGUCGCGUUGUUCGUGAAAACUCACAGCUCAACUGUGGGCGUGCGGGCGAUACGGGCAGACUAGAGUACUGCAGGGGAGACUGGAAUUCCUGGUGUAGCGGUGGAAUGCGCAGAUAUCAGGAGGAACACCGGUGGCGAAGGCGGUUCUCUGGGCCUUACCUGACGCUGGAGGAGCGAAAGCGUGGGGAGCGAACAGG